AUACUGUGAAACUGCGAAUGGCUCAUUAAAUCAGUUAUCGUUUAUUUGAUAGUACCUUACUACAUGGAUACCUGUGGUAAUUCUAGAGCUAAUACAUGCUAAAAACCUCGACUUCGGAAGGGGUGUAUUUAUUAGAUAAAAAACCAACGCCCUUCGGGGCUCCUUGGUGAAUCAUAAUAACUAAGCGAAUCGCAUGGCCUUGCGCCGGCGAUGGUUCAUUCAAAUUUCUGCCCUAUCAACUUUCGAUGGUAGGAUAGUGGCCUACCAUGGUGGCAACGGGUAACGGGGAAUUAGGGUUCGAUUCCGGAGAGGGAGCCUGAGAAACGGCUACCACAUCCAAGGAAGGCAGCAGGCGCGCAAAUUACCCAAUCCCGACACGGGGAGGUAGUGACAAUAAAUACUGAUACGGGGCUCUUUUGGGUCUCGUAAUUGGAAUGAGUACAAUCUAAAUCCCUUAACGAGGAACAAUUGGAGGGCAAGUCUGGUGCCAGCAGCCGCGGUAAUUCCAGCUCCAAUAGCGUAUAUUAAAGUUGUUGCAGUUAAAAAGCUCGUAGUUGAACCUUGGGUCUGGCUGGCCGGUCCGCCUCACCGCGAGUACUGGUCCGGCUGGACCUUUCCUUCUGGGGAACCUCAUGGCCUUCACUGGCUGUGGGGGGAACCAGGACUUUUACUGUGAAAAAAUUAGAGUGUUCAAAGCAGGCCUUUGCUCGAAUACAUUAGCAUGGAAUAAUAGAAUAGGACGUGCGGUUCUAUUUUGUUGGUUUCUAGGACCGCCGUAAUGAUUAAUAGGGAUA
rnacentral:rRNA from 1 species